rnacentral:rRNA from 1 species
GAUGAACGCUGGCGGCGUGCCUAAUACAUGCAAGUCGAGCGAACGGACGAGAAGCUUGCUUCUCUGAUGUUAGCGGCGGACGGGUGAGUGACACGUGGAUAACCUACCUAUAAGACUGGGAUAACUUCGGGAAACCGGAGCUAAUACCGGAUAAUAUUUUGAACCGCAUGGUUCAAAAGUGAAAGACGGUCUUGCUGUCACUUAUAGAUGGAUCCGCGCUGCAUUAGCUAGUUGGUAAGGUAACGGCUUACCAAGGCAACGAUGCAUAGCCGACCUGAGAGGGUGAUCGGCCACACUGGAACUGAGACACGGUCCAGACUCCUACGGGAGGCAGCAGUAGGGAAUCUUCCGCAAAGGGCGAAAGCCUGACGGAGCAACGCCGCGUGAGUGAUGAAGGUCUUCGGAUCGUAAAACUCUGUUAUUAGGGAAGAACAUAUGUGUAAGUAACUGUGCACAUCUUGACGGUACCUAAUCAGAAAGCCACGGCUAACUACGUG